rnacentral:misc_RNA from 1 species
UCCCCGUUGCCGAGGCGGUCUGAAUAGAAAAAUCCAACUAUUCAUAAGGGUUGCGCUCGUUGCGGGACUUAACCCAACAUCUCACGACACGAGCUGACGACGGCCAUGCAUCACCUGUCACUUGGUUCCAAAGGCACAGUCUCCUUUCGGAGACCUUCCAAGGAUGUCAAGCCCUGGUAAGGUUCUUCGCUUACCAUCGAAUUAAACAACACGCUCCACCGCUUGUGCGGGUCCCCGUCAAUUCCUUUGAGUUUUAAGCUUGCGCUCGUACUACUCAGGCGGGAUGCUUAACGCGUUAGCUUCGCUACGGAGGGGGUCGAUACCCCCCACAGCUAGCAUCCAUCGUUUACGGCGUGGACUAC